CCGCGUUUAUUGGUGGAUAGGCGCUGGGCGCCGCAGCAGCUAAUUGGGUGUGGCGGACGUCCCUCCGGGCUGAGAGCUUUUAAAUAUGACCGUAGGCCGCCCUUUUCCGGCACGCGGUCGGGGGACUCGGUUGCGGGCUCGUGCUCCGCUGGUUCCGCGGGCGCCGGGACUGGGCGGGGUCCGGCCUGCAGGCGCGGAGCAGGAAAUGCUGCGGCCCGGUGGCGGGGUGCCGGACGACAGUGGCCGUGUCAGCGCUGCACGCGCGAGUCGUGAGCUGGGCGGUCGCGUAGGAGCUCAGCGAGUUCAGACCGGUCUGAGCUGUCGGGGCUUUCUUAGCAGCAGGAAAAACAAUUUUUCCUUGUCAAAAAUUCGAGUGAAACGAGUGUUUCUGAGGGGGCUGCCCGUGAGCUAGGAAGAGGGAGGGCCGCUGGCCUCGCUCUCUAGACUAGAGUUCAUCACCGAGGCGGGAAGGUAACCAGCGACGGUUUGAAAAGACAAGCACAGCGCAGCGGCGCGCGUGUCCGUGAGGAGGCUGCGAAGCGACGCGGCCGACAGCCGGGUCUGCCGCUUCUCUCGUGUCGAAACCGAAAGGUCCAGCGAGGCGCUCGACGGUGCCAGCCCUGGAGCAGCAAGUGGGGAAAAUAAACAUUGCCAUUACACUGAAUUUGUCAUAGUCAAGAUUUGCUCUCCACUUCCGUGACUUGAAAGAGACCCCCUUGACUCUUAACCGCUCGCUCCAAACUGCGCGUGCCAGUGUACCCCAGCCGUACAGGGACUGUUUUGCUUGUGUGUUGCUCGGGGGAAAGCUGCUUUUAAGGGAAGGAGCCAUGGCUUCAGCGUGCGAUCUCUAACACAAGGCAUUGCUAUUAAUGAGGAACUUGAAGCCAUACCACAGAGCAAAUCACAGAUAGUACCUUACGCUCUGAGGAGGUUGAAUUUUAUUUAUUUAUUUAUUUAUUUACUAUUUUUAAGCAUUUCUUUUCAAAACGUGGAUUGGAAGUUUUAUCUAAACCAGACAGAGGCCAGAAUGUCCUGUUUUCCCCACACCUAGCUGUUGACGAAUAAAGAGCAGCCAGGAGAAAAAUGACUUUGUGGGGGGGAUGGGCAAUGGAGAGUGGCAUUCUUGGUAGUGCCAGGGACUAGUACGAUCAGAGAACCUAGAUGAUAAAUGCCUUAGCGGUAAUGACUGCAAGCUCGUAUCAGGUGUAACGGUGAAGCAGUGCGAAGCCUGUAGGGAGAGAGAAUAUGGUCAGGGUUACCCAAGCAACAAAGCUUUAAUGCCAGAAAUUAGGAGGCUGCAGUACGUAUUGGGCCACGAAGACCUAGACAGCAGUCAAUAAUGUGGGUAUCGAAGUAAAAAAAAAAGGUUUUAGUGAUGACUCCAGAGAAGGCAGCAGGUUUUGCCAUGAUCUGAUACAAGGGUCCAGAACGGCGGUUCUGAACCUUUUUCAGUUGACGUACCUCUUGGUCUCAGAGUGAGACUUCAUGUACCCCCUUUCAAUGGGAAAUUAAUUUUUAUGUCAAACUACGUGUACUCGUGUAUUAUAAAAACAGCAAGAUACUCAUACAAAGACUUCAUUUUAAACAAGCUUUAUUUAUUCCAUGCACAUAAAAAGUUGUGCAAAAAACCAUCACUUGGUGUCAAAUGGCAAAACAUGCCCAAACUUAUUAGUGCAAACAGUGCCGCUGCUUACUAUCAACCAACAUUUGAAUUCUAGGCGACAUUUUCGAGACAGCCACAUGCACAUCAUGAUCAGCUUUCAGUUUGUUCCUCGCUUUGGUUUUUGCAAAAAGCACUGAAAAUCGCGACUCGCAGAGAUGGGUUGCAACAAACAGAGCUAGAACUUGGUAAGCUCGCUUGGUCCGAGUGGGAUAUGCCUCCCCAAGUCUGCGCCAGAAUAGUUCCAAUUUCAUUGAUUCAAAAUUGACACGGAGUUUCUGAUUAUUGCACAAAUCAAGUAGCUCAUCUUUUGCCAGGUCGGCACCACUAAUUUGUUCGAGAGAAGCAGUAAAGAGGCUCCUUACCCAAAUGUCAACUACCUGAAUACUUGCAAUAAUUCCUUCUGUGGUGACUUUCAGAUUUUCAAGAUGCGUAAUAAUACUCGCAGGGUGUAGGUUGUACUCGUGUUGGUCUUCAUUCCAUCCAGGAAGAGCACAUGCCAAUUGCUGAAACUUCCUCAGCCCGACAAGGGGUUUUUGAACCCAAAAGCUUACUUAAAAUUUUUUUCCCAACUAUUUAAGUUGGUCUAACAAAAGGUCAGAUUCACCCAAAGAACCUUGUCUGCCUAAUAAUACUCUCAUGAACUCUUGGUUCCCCUGGAUGCACUGGAUCUAAAGUGAUUUCAUCAAACAGAGAGAAACUGACAAAGUUACUGGAAUCCCUCUUCUUCCCCAGAGAGCCAACUUCUCUUGAAAGGAUUUGACUUUUUUGUCCUCCAAGAUAGUCACUUCUCCACCUUGGACUGAAAUGUUCAACGAGUUUGGACUGAAAUGUUCAAUGAGUUUAGAAUUCUGAACACAUCUGGGAGGUAUGCCAAACAACCCACAAAGUUUGGACCGAUGAAACACUGAAGCAGAAUUGAUCCAUUUUCAUGCAGAAACAUUUCAAUUAAAUCUCAAAGUUCAAAAACUCUUGUCAGAACGUUUUGUCUGGAUAACCAGCGUACUUCUGUGUGAAGCAGAAGUACAGUGUGUUCAGACCCAAUCUCUUCCUUCGCACAGCGCUUUGAACAUGCAGUGUUUCAAUGCCCUUGCUCUGAUCAAGUUGACGGCCUGGAUGACAACAUCCAACACAUCUUUCAAGUAAGAGGGAGGAGAAUGCAAUGACUAGAGAUCACAUUUGGAUUCACCUUUUUGACGAGAGCGGUGAACUCUGAAUAUUUCCCCAACAUAGCAGGAGCACCAUCAGUACAAAUAGCUCCUACAAGGUCCUAGGAAAGGCUGGAAAAAAGGAAAAAAUUCAUUUAUCGUAGCCAUAAUGUCUGCUGCCUUCGUUGUUUCUUUCAGCAGUUCACAAAAGAAAUUCUUCUUUGACAUGAUUCUCACGCGCAUAUCAAGCAAAAACGAGAAGUUGUGCGCAAUUUGAGACAUCAGUUGAUUCAUCCAACUGCAAGCCAAUUUUAUCAGACUUUUCUUGACUUGCUCCACUACUUGUUUGCGUAUGUCUUCUGACAUGUCCUUGAUUCGGUCGUGAAAGGUGUUGUAUGGGGGAUGUGUGCUAUUUUUAGUUGUGCAUCUUUACCAGACAUCAGCUCGGCCAUUUCCAUGGCACGGCUUCACCAGGGUCUCUGUGAUGGUAUGCAGCUUUUUUUUCUGUGGCCAUCCUUAAUGCCACAUGAUAACUUGCCUCCAGCGCUGGCUUCUGGGGAGUAAAUCCACCAUCGGAGAGUGUGCUUGUUUCAAGUUGUGAUUGCUUGAUUUUUAAUAAAGCUUUUGGGUCUUUAGUAUUUUCAGGGUGAA